AACGAACGCUGGCGGCAUGCCUAACACAUGCAAGUCGAACGAGACCUUCGGGUCUAGUGGCGCACGGGUGCGCAACGCGUGGGAAUCUACCCUCAGGUUCGGAAUAACUCAGAGAAAUUUGAGCUAAUACCGGAUGAUGACGUAAGUCCAAAGAUUUAUCGCCUGAGGAUGAGCCCGCUUAGGAUUAGGUAGUUGGUGAGGUAAAGGCUCACCAAGCCGACGAUCCUUAGCUGGUCUGAGAGGAUGAUCAGCCACACUGGGACUGAGACACGGCCCAGACUCCUACGGGAGGCAGCAGUGGGGAAUAUUGGACAAUGGGCGAAAGCCUGAUCCAGCAAUGCCGCGUGAGUGAUGAAGGCCUUAGGGUUGUAAAGCUCUUUUACCCGGGAUGAUAAUGACAGUACCGGGAGAAUAAGCUCCGGCUAACUCCGUG
rnacentral:rRNA from 1 species